UACGGGGGGGGCAAGCGUUGUUCGGAAUUACUGGGCGUAAAGGGCUCGUAGGCGGCCAACUAAGUCAGACGUGAAAUCCCUCGGCUUAACCGGGGAACUGCGUCUGAUACUGGAUGGCUUGAGGUUGGGAGAGGGAUGCGGAAUUCCAGGUGUAGCGGUGAAAUGCGUAGAUAUUCGGAAGAACACCAGUGGCGAAGGCGGCUUACUGGUCCGGUACUGACGCUGAGGUGCGAAAGCGUGGGGAGCAAACAGG
rnacentral:rRNA from 1 species